UACAGAGCUGGAAUUGCAGAAUUUAUGGCUACUUUCUUGUUUUUGUACAUCACUAUCUUGACUGUUAUGGGUCUGAAAAGAUCUGAUAGUCUGUGUAGUUCAGUUGGUAUUCAAGGUGUUGCUUGGGCUUUUGGUGGUAUGAUCUUUGCUUUGGUUUACUGCACUGCUGGUAUCUCAGGUUAGUUUUUUCAUUUUUCAUUUCUUGUUGUUUUUUAGUCAUUAUCUUGCUUAAAGUUUGUUCCUUUACUCUUAUUAUAGUAUUAGUAUAGCUUUUUGUGGCACCAUAUUUGAUCUUGUGGUUACUUAUUUUCUACAUCAUACUUUUGUCAAGUAAUUUUUUGGAUUCUUGAGCAUAAUAAGAUCUUGUUUUUGUUACUGCUUGUCUUUUUAUGAGCGAUAGUUUAUCGAAAAUAGUCUUUUUAUACUCAUAGGUCGUAGGCUGGCGUACAUACUACCCUCCCUAGAUCCGACUUGUAGAAUUACACUCGAUUUUAUUGUUGUUCUUGAGUAUACUAAGACAAAAAUGUCAGUUUUUUUACACUGGAUUUUCUUGUUGUUCUUGAGUAUACUAAGUCAAAAAUGUCAGUUUUUUCCUGUUUUAGUACUUUAAGACAUGUUACUAUAAGUUUACUUUGUGUGUCUAAAUUACUACUUAUUAGUCAUUACCUUGCUAAAGCUUGUUCCUUUAACUUUUGUACUGUAAAAAUAUGACCUUUUGUGGCUGAUUCUCUUUUGUUUUCCUUUCUUUUGCUCACCAUAUUUUAACUUGUGGUUACUUACUUUGUGCUUGCAUCAUACUUUUGUCAAAUAAUUUGAUGGAUUCUUGAGUAUUUAUAAAAACGAUUCAGUUUUUUCCUGUUUUAGAGGUUAUUCCCUUUCAUCUUGUUUGCUCAAGCCUGUACUUUUACCUCUUUAUGCUAAAAUAUGACUUUUUGUGAGUGUGUUUUUGAAGGUUACCAGUUUAAAAAAAAAAAAAAAACUUUGUGUUUUUUAUUGUUGACAUUUUUUGGUUAUUUUCCUUUCUUUGCUCACCAUAUUUGAGCUUGUGGUUACUUAUUGUGUUGUAUAACAUACUUUUAUCAUCUAAUUAUAUGGAUUCUUGAAUUUACUCACAAAAAGAUUCAGUCUUUCCCUAUUUUAGAAGCUCAAAACAUGUUAUUGUUUUACUUUCUCUGUCUAAAUUACAAAAGAUUGUGUCUUUUCCUUCUUUAAUUUGGCUUUUGGACAUAAGGGGUUUAUUUAUUUUUCUCUAAAACUGCACUAUAUUAUGUUCUGAAAUGAAACAGGAGGACACAUCAACCCAGCUGUGACCUUUGGAUUGUUCUUGGCAAGGAAACUGUCCUUAACCAGGGCUAUUUUCUACAUGGUGAUGCAAUGCCUUGGUGCAAUUUGUGGUGCUGGUGUUGUGAAGGGAUUCAUGGUUGGUCCAUACCAGAGACUUGGUGGUGGUGCUAAUGUUGUUAACCCUGGUUACACCAAAGGUGAUGGCCUUGGUGCUGAAAUUAUUGGCACUUUUGUCCUUGUUUACACUGUUUUCUCUGCUACUGAUGCUAAGAGAAAUGCCAGAGACUCACAUGUUCCUGUAAGUUUUCUAUUGCAAUUUUAAGAUUAACAUGGUUUUGGUUCACAUAUUAAUUACUUCUUUGUGCUAUCAAAUUGCUUAUCUUGAAAAUUUACCUGUUUGAUUUAGGUUCCAUUUGACCUUGUACUUAUAAGCUUUGGUUGUAGAGAAUUGGAUGUAAAUUCUGCUUGAAUCUGUUUUUUUCACUUUCUUAUAUGAAAAAUUAUACUCUAUGAAAAGGCUUUUUGGGGGAAGUAGAAGUUGUGGGGGUGGGUGAGUGGAUUGGUUUUAGGAUAGAGUUAACUUUUACACUCUUAAUUUGGAUAACUAUAGGUGACCGUCCAUAAUAAGUGUAGUUAAUUACUUGAGAAAUAAGAGUUUAUGCAUUACUAGUCUAUAGUAUUUUUUUAAUUGAACUAGUGAUUAUAAGAUAUAUGACUAGGACAACUACAACAAAACUAAUGGCAUCCCAUAAGUGGGGUCAGUAUAUUAUUAAAAAUAAAUUAUUUAGGACAGUUGGUCUGGCUUUUUGGUGCAGCUAAAAUAAUGUUCAUGCUAGCAUGUGGCAUGUUUGGUUUUGUCAGCAAGUGCUUUUAGUUGGUGUUGUGUGUUAUCUUGGUGGGCACCCAUGCCAUUGAAAAAUAUGCUAUGAGUUUGGCUAAAGAUAGUGAUAUUCACGUGAAUGAGCUACUGUAGGUUUGGCUCUUUUUGUUUGAUGAAAUAAUGCAGUGAUUCUCCAUAUCAGAAUGUUGUGGUCCUAGUUGUGUUUGAAAUAAUUCUCAUCUACUCCCAAUAGGGUUUAAAAUUUAUUGUCUUUUAGAAAAGUCAAGAAGGGAAGCCAUGAGUAACCGAUAAAGUUAUUGUUAUAUGACUAUUACGGGUUCAAGCCGUAAAUACUGUCAGACUCGCAUAUAGCGGGAGCUUAGUAUACCAGGUUAUUUUUUUUUUUUGCAAAAGUUGAGAUUUGGGUCACAAGUCAUGCUUUUUGGUUGUAGUAUGAAACAAUGAGUCCUUAAUACCAAUCUAACCAAAUUAAUAACAUAAAACUUGUGUGUUAUCUUUUAUGCGAGUUGACAAUAUAACUUUACACCGUUCAACGUGUAGAAGCUAAAAUUAUUUUUAAAAACAAGGCAUCAUUUUGAAAAAUUUGGAUGAUAUUGCAGAUUUUGGCACCACUUCCCAUCGGAUUCGCGGUGUUCUUGGUUCAUUUGGCCACCAUUCCCAUCACCGGAACUGGCAUCAACCCCGCUAGGAGUCUUGGAGCUGCGAUCAUCC
rnacentral:lncRNA from 1 species